rnacentral:rRNA from 1 species
CCUACGGGAGGCAGCAGUGGGGAAUAUUGCGCAAUGGGCGAAAGCCUGACGCAGCGACGCCGCGUGAGGGAUGAAGGUCUUCAGAUCGUAAACCUCUGUCAGCAGGGAAGAACGGUCACUGUGCUAAUCAGCAGUGAAUUGACGGUACCUGCAAAGGAAGCACCGGCUAACUCCGUGCCAGCAGCCGCGGUAAUACGGGGGGGUCGGGCGUUAAUCGGACUUACGGGGCGUAACGCGCACGUAGGCGGUAUGUCAAGUCAAGGGUGAAAUCCCCGCGCUCAACGUGGGAACUGACUUUGAAACUGGCAAACUGGAGUGUGUGAGAGGAUAGUGGAAUUCCAGGUGUAGGAGUGAAAUCCGUAGAUAUCUGGAGGAACAUCAGUGGCGAAGGCGACUAUCUGGCACAUAACUGACGCUGAGGAGCGAAAGCGUGGGUAGCAAACAGGAUUAGAUACCCUGGUAGUC